rnacentral:tRNA from 1 species
GCCACCGUAGCUCAACCGGCAGAGCUCUCGCCUUGUAAGCGAGCGGUUACGGGUUCGAAUCCCGUCGGUGGCU